GAGUAAAAGUCGUAACAAGGUUCGUAGGUGAACCUGCGGAAGGAUCAUUAAAAAAUGUGGUACCAAAUUAUUGGUACUAAUUAAUCAUCCUACCUUUGUGAAUUUGUUUGUAUGAAUUUUUUAAAUGGGUCUUCCCUAAGUUGGAUUGUUAGUAAAUACAAAAAGACUUAGGGAAUGACUUUUUAAAAGACUUUUUUUAAUUAAAACUUUUUGUAUUCAUUUGUCUAAAAUUUAUUUUUAUAAUAUAAAAACAACUUUUGACAAUGGAUCUCUUGGUUCUCGCAACAAUGAAGAACGCAGCAAAAUGCGAUAAGUAGUGUGAAUUGCAGAAUACGUGAAUCAUCGAAUCUCGAACGCAUAUUGCACUUUUUAGUUUACUAAAAAAGUAUGUCUGUUUGAGUAUCAGUAAAAUAUUCUCACAAAACAUGUUUUUUGUGGUUAUGAGUGUUUUACAACGAUAAACAAGUUGUUCACUUUAAAUUCUUUUUAAUUGAAUUUUACCAAUUCAUAAUUAAAAUUGGAUAAAAUUUUCCUUUAACGAGGAAUAACCUAAACAAUUUUAAAUUUUAUGGAUUAAUAAACAUUCAUCAAAGGAAUCUAUACAACAAAUAACUUGAUCUCAAUCAGAUAAGAGUACCCGCUGAACUUAAGCAUAUCAUAAGCGGAGGGAAAAGAAACUAACAAGGAUUCCCUUAGUAACGGGCGAGUGAAGCGGGAAGAGCUCAAAUUUGAAAUCUUCAAGGUUUGACCUUGACGAAUUGUAGUUUAUAGAAGUGUUUUCUGUUGGAGUUUUGGGUAAAAGUUCUUUGAAUAGGACAUCAUAGAGGGUGAGAAUCCGUAUUUGACCAUGACUUCCAGCUGUGUGAUACACUUUCAAAGAGUCGGAUUGUUUGGGAAUGCAGUCCAAAAUGGGUGGUAAAUUUCAUCUAAAGCUAAAUAUUGGCGAGAGACCGAUAGCGAACAAGUACCGUGAGGGAAAGAUGAAAAGAACUUUGAAAAGAGAGUUAAACAGUACGUGAAAUUGUCAAAAGGAAGCGUUUGACACCAGUGUUGUUUUCUCGAAAAUCAAUUUAAUGAGUUCUUGUUUUUAAGUUAUUGUGACUUUAUCAGCGCAUUUCUAUUUACUUGACUCAUUGAAUGCACUUUUCGUUUAACAAGUCAACAUCAAUUUUCUUUGGUGGUAAAAAGUUUUAAAGGAAGUGGCUUGGACUUCGGUUCAAGUGUUUAUAGCCUUUUUUCUAUGCCAUCGGAGAGAUUGAGGUCGCAGCGUAGAUCCUUCGGGUUAGAUACUUGUGCUAAGUUAUAGUUUUUAUAGACAAUUGUUGACUAUAAUUAACCCUGUAUUUACUCGCUUAGGCUAUUUUACCUAC
rnacentral:misc_RNA from 1 species